rnacentral:tRNA from 2 species
UAGAAUACCGGCCUGUCACGCCGGGGGUCGCGGGUUCGAGUCCCGUCCGCUCCGCCA